UACGGAGGGUGCGAGCGUUGUUCGGAAUCACUGGGCGUAAAGGGCGUGUAGGCGGUCCGCUAAGUCUGAUGUGAAAGCCCGGGGCUCACCCCCGGAAGUGCAUUGGAAACUGGCGGACUCGAGUCCCGGAGAGGAGAGUGGAAUUCCUGGUGUAGCGGUGAAAUGCGUAGAUAUCAGGAGGAACACCGAUGGCGAAGGCAGGUCUCUGGGCCACUACUGACGCUGAGGAGCGAAAGCGUGGGGAGCGAACAGG
rnacentral:rRNA from 1 species